CUAGGUGGUCUUUAGGGUCCUUUCCAACCCUAACCUUUCUGUGGUUUCUCUUUGCAUGCCACAAAGGAGAAAUACAGCACAUGUUUUGGUGGAAUAUGAAGUGUCAGUUUGUCUUUUUUGCUUGUGGCAAGGUUUUAAUGAAUUUCUUCAGGUACUUUUAGUUUGGUUUCUCUGAGAAAACAUAAUAAAAAUAUGCAAUCUUUCUCCUAAUUUAUGCAUGUGUGGAGUGCAGAAAAGCCUUUUUUCACAAGGCCAGUGUCUGCUUCAGACAGUGGGUGUGGAAGAAGCAAAAACCCAGUGCAGUGAGGGAACUUCUGCACAGGCUGAACAGCAAUCCUACAGGAAAACAGUGUUGCUGGCUGUUUGCUUUCUGACUCAGCUCUCACCUUCCUCACCUUCAGGGAUCCAGAAGUUCCUCCAUAAGUGGGCAGAGAGACCCUAAGGCUGUGUGGAGUCACCCCGUUCCCAGUGCAGAACGAUCAGAAGGACAGAAAAGCUGUGAUCCUGCUACAGAACCUUGGUUUUCCUGCUUCUGAAACAAAGUUAAACAGGUGGGAAUCCUGUGGAGCUUUUUUUCACGGUGAGGUUCUGAAAGCUUCUUUGCAAAGGAAGUUUUCAUCCUGGCUUAGGGCCUGAUGUUAUCAGGUGAGGAGCAGCCUCCAUUUUUCCCAGUCUCUGCAGGAAGACCUGCCAGGAGUGCCCAGCUGGCCACCCUGAUGCUGCUUUCAAGAGCAGAACUUCCUCCUUGGGCAGUGAUGCCACAACGUCCUGUGUGCUCCUGCUCCUUCUGAGGGAAGCCCACAGGAAAGGACAGUGGCUGAGGGCUGUGUUGUGUCCCCACUGAAGUCCUGCUCCCAGGAGCCUGGAAAAUGGCUGAUCAGGUUCAGGUAGUUUGGGUUGCCAUCCUACUGUUCCUGAAGUUUUAGCUCCCUGGAAUGAAGUAAUUUCUGCUGUGUAGAGCUGAAGCUGAAAGUCCCCCAAAGCAAGUGCCUUGACAGUGCUGGCUGUCUUGUACCAAGUGAAAAUGCUGCCUGCUGGCAGCAGAGUGACAAAUCAAGAAGAGGCAGAAAUCCAUCUCAUCCUGAAAGAAUCAAAGUCUUUCUCGAGGUUUUAGUGAGCGUGAAGCUUGGAUGGAGCAGUUUUUGGAUAUGGA